UUUUGAUUGAACCGAACUAGCCCACUGAAACCGCCCCGGGGCCGCACGUUAAACCCCUCCGUCAGUCCCACAUUACAAGGACACGCCGUCCGGCACACGUGCAACUCAUUUCGGUGACUGCGCGCCGCUGUGCCCACUGGCAGCACGGCGCUUUCCGUGAGAAGGAAGUGAUGGAGGAGGAACGUUUCUGACGCCUCUCCUCCCGUCUUGUGUGCUCUCUGCUCGCAGGGAAAGUUAUUUUUUUUUCGCUGUGCGCGCUUCGCUCGUCCUCGCCAUUACGCACGAAUACUGGACAUCUGCACGAUCUGUUUAUGGAUUCGGGAUUAAUAAGGUCUGCGACACUGAAAUGUCUCAGGAUUGGAAAUGCAGCUCCACGCCUGCCUGUUGCUUUUUAUGAUCACAACAGAUAAAACAUUGGCCUCGCUGCACCACCACUGUGGUGGAGAUGUCAGCCUGGACCAGCAGCCAGCUGGUCACAUCACUCUCACUUUCCCUGGACUUUCUACUGACACCAACAUCACGCCCGAGCCCAUGCACCACCGGUCUGACAGAACCCCGGCGGUCUCAGUUUGCACCUGGACGAUAGGUGUUCCUCCGGGUCGGGCGGUACUGUUAAAGUUUGUGCGGUUGGACGUUGGUUCAAGCGUAACAGUGCGCUGUGUUUUGAACGAGGACAAUCGGGAGGUCCUGGAGAGCGGGGGGUCGGCUCUGCUCGCCCACUGUGAUGGAGACAAAGCCACCUUCACUUGGACAGGAGCAGGCCGCUCCUCAAAUGGAAUGCAGCUGUCCUAUUCUGUCCAGGAAGAUGAGAGGAAUUCCUCGGAGGACCCCACCAACCCACAUUCGGACCUCCUGCGUCGGACUCAGACAGGAACCAGCUUUACGAGCGGCGCUCCUGUUGGUCAAGACGUGGUGAGAGGGACAGACGGGGGCAGAGGUCGCCUCUUUGAAGGUCUGGAGGGCAGCCCUGGGCCUCGGUCUGCGUCUAGUCCCUCCUCUCCGGACCAGGGGCCGCUCCGCCCCACUUCAACCCUGCAGGGACUCACUGUGGCUGGGAGAGCCGAUAGGGAAACUCUCCCUCUUCCUGAGGAAGAACCAAACAAUGGAGCGGAUACAUCUGGAGCUGCUCACCUCGGGGAUGGAAAAAUAUCUACCAGAGAGAGAGCCCGCCCCUAUUUUCAGCCCACAGACUCGCUGUUUCACACAGCGAACACAGCGAACACGGAGAAAGAAUCCGACAACGAGGGCCCUCAAACCCGGAUUGCUGCGACGGCCAUUAGCUCCAACUCCUCGUUUGGCACAUCCACAGCCACCCAGACAUCUAAGCUAUCUACAAACACACAAACUCGCUCCAGCGCCAGAGUCCCACCCCUCAAAUCUUCUUCACCUUCCGGGACAACCUGGGAGAGUGAUACCGCCCCGAUCCCGCGGGUUGGAGCCAUUAGUGAGGCGUCUAGAGGGGAGCGCCCUCAUUCCCGGAGGAGCCAGCGAAGCACAGACGGGCUUAACUCUGAUCUGAGCUCCGCCGUCACCUCUGAUCCUCUAGGAUCCCCCACUGAGCCUCAGCAGGGGGACUCGCACACUCGUAUUGAACCCACUGCGCCGUCGCCAUCGUCCUCUCAGGCCUCCAGCGGCACUCAGUCAUCCGCCGCCCGCAUCGCGGAGCCGGGAACCACCGUCGGUGCCGCGGAGGCCGCCUCGUUCCGUCCAAACGCGAGCGGAGCCGACUCGUCGGAAUCGACUGGGUCAGAGGUCACCGGUCAAACUGCUGCGUUUGAGUUUUCCGACGAGCUUGAGAUUCGUCACACUUUCACUUCCUCCACACCGAGUCACACAAACGCCAAGAAGCACACAGGGCGGGGAGAGCUCGCCGCCUCCCGACACGCCCUCCACGUUCACACGGGCGGGCGAAGACGAGACGCACGCGGCCAACGCCACGUCGUCCUCGCGGGGCCUCGCCGAAGUUCACAACGGGACUUUGAGUUUCACAGAUUCUUCUUCUUCUUCUGCACCGCUGACGUCGGGAGACGUAGUCCAGACGUCGGCUACCACAACCACGGGAACACACACGCCGCGUCCCACUCACACACUCUUAAAUAACAGCUCGCCCACAAACUCAUCGACUCCCGUUCCACCGUUGUCGGCCAGUACGGCCGCACGCUCAUCGACGCCUUCACACACACUUCAAACACACACUGCAUCGCCCUCUCGCUCACGUCUAACUCGCCCACCACUUUCUUUUCCCUCCUCCACCACUGAAUCCGCUGCACACACGCCGCCGCUCAUCGGCCACGAACCCACGGCCGCGCCCUCACAAACAAGCCAAGCGACAUCUUCGCGCACACCUGGUACACAAAACCAGCCGCCUUUGACCCCUCCUACUAACGUCCCAGUCACGCUCACACAGCCCGGCAACGACAUCACCACUGAACCGACGCCUCCGCUCUCACUCACAACUGCGAUAUCUGAUGAUGGACGUGGAGGUGGAGAGGGAGAGGACGGAGAGAGGGAGGACGAGUCUCGGCAAAAGUUACCGAGCGGCACGACCACACGCACUCGCACGGCCGGAGCCCCGUCGUGGACCACCUCGCAUCCCAGCCAGGAGACGAGUUUCACACCUUCGGUUUUGAGCUCCACCACUAGUCAGACACCCACGUUCUACAUCAUGCCAGACCAACCUUCAGUCAUCAGAGUGGAGUCGAUCGAGCUGCUGCUGCAGAUCGUUGUGGAAGAGUCCAGAUCGGCUUUUACUUCUGGUUUGGAGGAAGACACCGCUGCCUGG